rnacentral:rRNA from 1 species
UACAGAGGGUGCGAGCGUUACUCGGAAUUACUGGGCGUAAAGAGCUCGUAGGCGGUUUGGCAAGUCGGGUGUGAAAACUCCGGGCUCAACUCGGAGACGCCACUCGAUACUGCCAUGACUCGAGUCCGGUAGGGGAGUGCGGAAUUCCUGGUGUAGCGGUGAAAUGCGCAGAUAUCAGGAGGAACACCGGUGGCGAAGGCGGCACUCUGGGCCGGUACUGACGCUGAGGAGCGAAAGCGUGGGGAGCGAACAGG